rnacentral:rRNA from 1 species
GACGAACGCUGGCGGCGCGCCUAACACAUGCAAGUCGAACGGAGCUGAGCGAAGCUUGCUUUUCUUAGCUUAGUGGCGAACGGGUGAGUAACGCGUGAGUAACCUGCCCUGGAGUGGGGGACAACAGUUGGAAACGACUGCUAAUACCGCAUAAGCCCACGAUCCGGCAUCGGAUUGAGUGUAAAGGAUUUAUUCGCUUCAGGAUGGACUCGCGUCCAAUUAGCUAGUUGGUGAGGUAACGGCCCACCAAGGCGACGAUUGGUAGCCGGACUGAGAGGUUGAACGGACACAUUGGGACUGAGGCACGGCCCAGACUCCUACGGGAGGCAGCAGUGGGGGAUAUUGCACAAUGGGCGAAACCCUGAUGCAGCGACGCCGCGUGGAGGAAGAAGGUUUUAGGAUUGUAAACUCCUGUCGUUAGGGACGAUAAUGACGGUACCUAACAAGAAAGCACCGGCUAACUACGUG